CAUUUAUUAUCUGAAAGAAAUGCAGGGAUGCCAAUAUUUUUAUUUGUGUCUGUGACUGUAUUUCCAGUGUGUUGUAUAGACAUUACAAAGUGCAUUUUGUCACUUUUUUAAUGUUUUUUUUUUUCCUGUGUAUAUAUGACUAAGCUGUAAUCUUCUAUCCCACAGAGGGACCAAGGCAUAUGCCUCUGAGGAAAAAGCCACAAAAGAAUUGCUCCUACCACACUCGCCUAGAGGCUUUCCCCAUCAGGAGUGUAGUAAGAGAAAGAGUGAGACAGGGCAAAUUAGAAAUAUUGGUUGACUGGGAGCCCUGUCCAAUAUGUGGCAAGGAGUGGGCCCGUUCCUGGCAGCCAAAGGAUUCUCUUCAAAUUAAUGAGAAGAAAUAAAAUGUAAAAUUUGAACUACA